CUUAGCUCAGUUGGUUAGAGCACCCGACUCAUAAUCGGUAGGUCCCGUGUUCAAGUCACG
rnacentral:tRNA from 13 species